AACACGGACCAAGGAGUGCAACAUGCGUGCGAGUCUUUGGGUGGCAAACCCAGCGGCGCAAUGAAAGUGAAGGCAGGCGGUGGUCUGCUGAGGCGAGAGUCCUCUCGGGGACACAUCGUCAACCGAUCCCAGGUCACGCUGUGGCGGGAUUUGAGUGAGAGCGUGCCUGUUGCGACCCGAAAGAUGGUGAACUAUGCCUGAAUAGGGUGAAGCCAGAGGAAACUCUGGUGGAAGCUCGUAGCGAUUCUGACGUGCAAAUCGAUCGUCAAAUUUGGGUAUAGGGGCGAAAGACUAAUCGAACCAUCUAGUAGCUGGUUCCCUCCGAAGUUUCCCUCAGGAUAGCUGGAGCCCGGUGCAGUUUUAUCAGGUAAAGCGAAUGAUUAGAGGUCUUGGGGUUGAAACAACCUCAACCUAUUCUCAAACUUUAAAUGGGUAAGAAGCUUGGCUUGCUUAAUUGAAGUCAGGCAUGGAAUGCCGGGGCUCCUAGUGGGCCAUUUUUGGUAAGCAGAACUGGCGAUGUGGGAUGAACCAAAUGCUGGGUUAAGGUGCCCGAAUCAACGCUCAUCAGAUACCAUGAAAGGUGUUGGUUGAUCUAGACAGCAGGACGGUGGCCAUGGAAGUCGGAAUCCGCUAAGGAGUGUGUAACAACUCACCUGCC
rnacentral:rRNA from 1 species